ACGAGGUGUGGUGGCGGCACCUGUAGUCCCAACUACUUGGGAGGCUGAAGCAGGAGGAUCACUUGAACUAAGGAGUUCAGGGACAGCCUGGGUAACAGUGAGCCCCCUGUCUUAU
rnacentral:sRNA from 1 species